AGCGUUUAAUCAUGGCUCAGGACGAACGCUGGCGGCGUGCCUAACACAUGCAAGUCGAGCGGAGACAGUGAGUAGCUUGCUAUGAGCUGUUUUAGCGGCGGACGGGUGAGUAACGCGUGAGCAACCUUUCCCAGACAGGGGGAAUAACACACCGAAAGGUGUACUAAUACCGCAUAAGACCACGGAAUCACAUGGUUCUGAGGUAAAAGAUUUAUCGGUUUGGGGUGGGCUCGCGUCCGAUUAGGUAGUUGGUGAGGUAACCGG
rnacentral:rRNA from 1 species